rnacentral:pre_miRNA from 1 species
CCUAGUUUCCGUGCCCAACGUUUGACCGUCCGUCUUAUUUAAAAAAAUUAUAAAAAAAAUUAAAAAGACAAGUCACGUAUAAAAUAUUAAUCAUGUUUUAUCAUCUAACAACAAUGAAAAUAUGAAUUAUAAAAAAACUUCAUAUAAGCCAAACAAUCAAAGUUGGACACGAAAACUCAGGGUUUGUCUUUUU